GGCCUCAUCAGCAUGUGAGCUUGCUAUUGUGUCUGUCACAAGCGCCACUUCUCUCUUGCUCAUAAAGGAUCAUGGGACAUAGCUAUGACCUUGGGAGCUUCAAAAGGCUGAAAGAAUGAGCUGGCAGAGGUCCUAGAAUUGGAAUAGAUUCCAGAACAUCCCAGAAACCCAGCCUAAUGAGGAGCAGGGCCCUGAGGAGCUACCUCUGAUACCCAGGUCAGCAGAGGAUCAAUAGAGGUGUAUCCUAUUAACAACAGAGUGAUUCUGUCCUGUGGUGAUGCUACAUUCAGAAUAGAACUCAGUGGGGUCUGAGCCCCCUCACCGAAGGGACUGAGGAUGGAGUCUGAUUGUGAUUUAAGAACCACAGAAUGAGAUGGGAGGUCUUGGGUUCAAAUGUGACACUGAAUACUUCCCAAUUGUGUGACCUUGGUUGAUGAUGAGUAUUAGUUCCAAGGCAGAAGAGUGGGCGAUUGAUGUUAAGUGGCUUGCCUAGGGUCACACAGCUAGGACCUUCGUCUCCAGGCCUGGCUUUCUAUCCACUCAGUUACCUAGCUGCCUCAAAAAUUACAUAGAAGAUAUCAGCAAAGAAAUUCAUGACCAGAAAUGGAAGUUGCCUUGUUGUGCAAUAAGAAUGAAGGCUAACAAAAGAAGUCUGUGGGCUGUACUGGUAACCAGUAAUAUCCAGGGUUCUAGAACAAGACUUCCAAGACUUUGGAUGGAUCUCACAGUAGAAGCUUUAUUGGAGAAUGAGGACAAAAUUUGAAUAUUGUGAGAAGAUGUGAAUAGGCUGCUUUCUACACCACUAGAGGGAGAGCCAACAUGGAUGAACUCUCAGAUUCAUUGAAGUAUUAAUCCAAAAUCACAAAUACUUAUUUUCUACUCUGCAGUAGAGCACUAUGUGGCAUCAACACCCACUUUUCAAUUUUUCUUGGUCCAAAAUGACAAGGUUGACUUAAUAGGCAAAAAGGCAACUUUCUUUUAAAAAACUUUUAAAGAAUUAUUUUUAUUUUAACAACAAAUUUCCACAUAAGUUCUUUGAAAUUAUAUGGUCCAAAUUGUCUCCUUCCCUUCUUCCCUCCCCUCUUCCAGAGCUGGCAAGCAAUUUAAUCUGGGUUAUACAUGUAUUAUCAUGCAAAAUACAUUUACAGGGGGCAUCUGGGUGGCUCAGUGGAUUGAGAGUCAGGCCCAGAGAUGGGAGGUCCUGGGUUCAAAUUUGACCCCAGACACUUCCUAGCUGUGUGACCCUGAGCAAGUCACUUAACACUUACUGCUCUUCUCUUAGAACCAAUACCCAGUAUUGAUUCCAAGAUGGAAGGUAAGGGUUUAAAAAUAAAAAAAAAAUUAAAAAAUUAAAAAAACUACAUUUCCAUAUUGUUCAUUUUUAUAAGUGAAUUAUCUUAAAAACCCAAAAUCAUAUACUCAAAUAAACAGGUGAUCAUAUGGUUUCCUCUGUAUUCCUACUCCCACAGUUCUUUCUCUGGAGGUGUAUAACAUUCUUCUUCAUAAGUCCCUCAGAAUUGUUCUGGUUCAUUGUAUUGCUGUUAGUAGCAAAAUGUAUCACAUUUGAUCAUUCCACAAUAUUGUUACUGUGUAGAAUGUUCUCUUGGUUCUGCUUAUUUCACUCUGCAUCAGUUCAUGGAGGUCUUCCUAGCAAAGAAACAAUUUCUACUAAUUUUUUUCCCUUUUUUUAAACACUCUUACCUUCCAUCUUAGAAUCAAUACUGUAUAUAUAGGCAAGAUUUGAACUCAGGAAGAUGAGUCUUCCUGACUUCAGGUCCAGCAUCUAUCCACUAUCUAUCUAUCUAUCAAUCAAUCUAUCUAUCUAUCUAUCUAUCUAUCUAUCUAUCUAUCUAUCUAUCUAUCUUUUUGGGAAAGACAUUGAAAAUGGAAAAUAAAUUUUAAAAUACAAGAGAAGUCUAGAUUUCCUUACAAGACUGCAACACUCUUUUCAUGAUCAUAGGCUUCUCCCUAAAACAAAGAUCCAUAUUUCUAAUACUGACAUUUUACCAGAAUUGUUGAAGAGUUAGUUGUAAGUCAUCAGAUACCAGAGUUUCCUAAAAUUAAAAAUAAUUUUUAUUCAGAGGGUAUGGACAUAUGAUAACUGACAGCAAGCUGCCCUAAAUACUAAAUAGAGAACCAUGAGGAAUUAGAAUAAAGCAUGUUAUCAAAGGAAUGUGUGAUUGAAAAAUAAUAUAGGUUAGUCACAUAGAGAGAGGGAAUGGUAUUUUCAGUGUCAAGAGAAAUCAAAGAAGUCCUCUCACAAAUUCAGUGACCCCAUGUAGUAAACUGCUUGUAGACACUGACAAGCAUUGUACAGUGGAAAGAGUUCCAACUCUGGAGUCAGAGGAUCACCCAAGUUCAAAUCUCACUUCUGGUAUUUGCUACCUAUGAUUGUAUUUUUAGGGCAGCUAGG